ACUUUCUUGUUAGACACAACCCAACAAGCUGGUGUAACACCAUUGCAAGUUGAGCAGUCAUUUUAGGGACAGUAAAACACUUAAAAUGGGACAUAAAAAGGAUCCAAUGCGACCCGUGCCCACAUCAGGUUCUAUAUUAAAGAGACCAAGCAGUGUACAAUACACCACUACACCAACAUACCAGUUAAUGAUGUGGUUCAAAGAGACAGCAUUAAGGUUUCAUCUAAUGUCAUGAGCAUGACACAAGACGAAAGGAACUGAUGCAAACCAAAUAGAUGCCUUAUGGAGAGGCAGGAAAAACACGAGAAACCCACAAUUUGAUAAGGGCAUAGUAAAAGCCUUAACAUAUGAAUGCAAGGUUUGUCAGGUGGAAGUUGUUGCACAAGCAAAGAGCCAACCACCAAAAACAAACC
rnacentral:misc_RNA from 1 species